CACCGCCAUCCUUCAAUCGCCCCUCUGCCUCCUCCGAACCGGGCUGCUCCAAACCCACGAGAGAGCAAAACGGAAACCCUGCAAGGUCGUCUGGAAGUGCUUUUCCUGAAGGAGAAGCAAAUCUUCGUCUCCUUAAGACAGAGAAGAGAGGAUGCCGACAUCAGACCCUGGAGGGUCACAAAUCGGACACAGAACGAGACAGAAUAGCAGACGUCUCUGUCUCUCUCUGCGCUGGGAGAGUACAGGAUUUGGGGUCAGGCUGGCGUGGUUUGAUCACAGAACUGGCUUCUCCUGCGUCUGCACAGCACCCACCUCCCCCGCGCAUCCAUCCACCUACCGGUCACGGUACUUGCAAAGCUCUGUUGUGAUUGUCUAUAUCUGUCUCUACAGCUGGACGGUAAACUCAGCGAGGGCAGGGCCACAGCUGAUCCGUCUCGAUAACCUCGUGCGCCUGGCUCUCAGGAGAAGCUCCACACGAUUGUUAUGUGACAGAUGGACACACAAAUGCGUGUAUAGUGACGUUGGGGUGCUGGGCAAGUUACGCCAGCUUUUGGGGCUGCAACCUCCCCAACCGGCAGCUGGCACUGCGUCCUCCAUAAUGACCCCGUUUCGAGGGUUCGGCGUGGGAAUACAUGGGCAGGUCCUGGUACAGUGGCCGGCACUCAUAAUGCUCUAAACAAGUGUCUUUUACCUCUUUUCUAGGCCAGAACUUUCGCUGUCACAUAAACUUCAGUACCGGGCAUUACUCAUGGCCCUUCCAUGGCAGGCUCUGCACAGAUCUUUGUUUGAGCCCACUCACCGAGGAAAACUUCCCCCUAACCUGAGGCCUUCUUUGGCAAGAGGGCCUCUAUUUCUAGGUCUCCUAAAAAGCCAGAGCAAUUGUGAGGAAAGUGAGAGUGUGAAGUCUCAUGUGGAAUUUAAGAAACGGAACUGAAGAUCCUAGGGGAAGGGAGGGGAAAAUAAGACGAAAUCAGAGAGGGAGACAAACCGCAGAGGCGCCUGACUCUAGGCAACAAACUGCGGGGUGCUGGGGGGUAACCGGGUGAUGGGCCCCAGGUGUUACGCAGCUGAUGAGUCAUGACCUCCGCCUCUGAAACGAGACGCUAAUGUGAAUUAAUUGAAUUUAGGUAAAAUAAAUUAAAAACUAAAGAACGCGAAGUCUCCCUGGAAAA